GCUGUCUGCAGCCUCGCUCUGGCUCGCGCCGCGCCCCCGCGCGGAGUCCGCGCGUCAGUCGGUCCCUUGCGCGGCUCUGGGACGGCGGGUUGCAGCCAGCAGAGCGCGCUGACUCCGGGAGGCGGCGGAGUCCCCGGGCGGCUCGUGAAGAGGCUCUGAGCCCGAAGACUCGCACAGCGUGAUGGCCCCCAUUGGCCUCAAAGCCGUGGUCGGAGAGAAGAUUAUGCAUGAUGUGAUAAAGAAGGUGAAGAAGAAGGGGGAGUGGAAGGUGCUGGUGGUGGAUCAGCUGAGCAUGCGGAUGCUGUCCUCCUGCUGUAAGAUGACGGACAUCAUGACCGAGGGGAUAACAAUUGUGGAAGAUAUCAACAAGUGCAGGGAACCACUGCCCAGCCUGGAGGCUGUGUAUCUCAUCACUCCAUCUGAGAAGUCUGUCCGCUCUCUCGUCAGUGACUUUAAAGACCCACCAACCGCCAAGUACCGGGCUGCGCACGUCUUCUUCACUGAUUCUUGUCCAGAUGCCCUGUUUAACGAGCUCGUAAAGUCUCGAGCAGCCAAAGUCAUCAAAACUCUGACGGAAAUCAACAUUGCAUUUCUCCCCUAUGAAUCCCAGGUGUAUUCCCUGGACUCUGCUGACUCUUUCCAAAGCUUCUACAGUCCCCACAAGGCUCAGAUGAAGAAUCCUAUACUGGAGCGCCUGGCAGAGCAGAUCGCAACUCUGUGUGCCACCCUGAAAGAGUACCCAGCUGUGCGGUACCGGGGGGAAUACAAGGACAAUGCUUUGCUGGCUCAGCUAAUCCAGGACAAACUCGACGCCUACAAAGCCGAUGACCCAACCAUGGGGGAGGGCCCGGACAAGGCUCGCUCGCAGCUCCUGAUCCUGGACCGUGGAUUCGAUCCCUGUUCCCCAGUACUGCAUGAACUGACUUUUCAGGCCAUGAGUUACGAUCUGCUGCCUAUUGAGAAUGACGUAUACAAGUAUGAGACGAGUGGCAUCGGAGAGGCACGGGUGAAGGAAGUGCUUCUGGACGAGGACGACGACCUGUGGAUAACCCUACGCCACAAGCACAUUGCAGAGGUGUCCCAGGAAGUCACCCGUUCUCUGAAAGAUUUUUCUUCUAGCAAGAGAAUGAACACUGGAGAGAAGACCACCAUGCGGGACCUGUCCCAGAUGCUGAAGAAAAUGCCCCAGUACCAGAAGGAGCUCAGCAAGUAUUCGACCCACCUGCACCUUGCUGAGGACUGCAUGAAGCAUUACCAAGGCACCGUGGAUAAGCUCUGCCGCGUGGAGCAGGACCUGGCCAUGGGCACGGAUGCCGAAGGGGAGAAGAUCAAGGACCCCAUGAGAGCCAUCGUCCCCAUUCUGCUGGAUGCAAACGUCAGCACUUACGACAAAAUCCGCAUCAUCCUUCUCUACAUCUUCCUGAAGAAUGGCAUCACUGAGGAAAACCUGAACAAACUGAUCCAGCAUGCCCAGAUCCCCCCGGAGGACAGUGAGAUCAUCACCAACAUGGCCCAUCUCGGGGUGCCCAUCGUGACAGACUCCACGUUGCGUCGCAGGAGCAAGCCAGAACGGAAGGAGCGCAUCAGUGAGCAGACCUACCAGCUCUCACGGUGGACCCCGAUUAUUAAGGACAUCAUGGAGGACACUAUUGAGGACAAACUGGACACCAAGCACUACCCUUAUAUCUCUACCCGCUCCUCUGCCUCCUUUAGCACCACGGCUGUCAGCGCCCGCUAUGGGCACUGGCAUAAGAAUAAGGCCCCCGGGGAGUACCGCAGUGGGCCCCGCCUCAUCAUUUUCAUCCUGGGGGGCGUGAGCCUGAAUGAGAUGCGGUGUGCUUACGAGGUGACGCAGGCCAACGGAAAGUGGGAGGUGCUGAUAGGUGAGUAGGCCCGUUUUCUCGCGGGAAGGGGCUGCUUCACCGCACUUUGACUCCAUUCCAUGCUUUGGUGUUUCAUUCUGUUUCCAACUCUCCAUGGCCCCGGCACAACUAGUCUCUAGAGCCGUUUGUGGAUGGCACAAGCUAAGGGGCGAAGGCUUCCUUCCUCAUGUCUACACCGUCUCUUGAUGGGAGGCAGAUGCGUGUAGAGGGAAGUGCUUGACCCCAGACUCCAUCAGCCCCAGGCUCACUGCUCUGCCUCCGCCCUGCGGCCUCGUGGAACCAGGGCGCCACCUUCGCAGACUGCGAUUUCCUUACUCAACCUAAUGGGCUUAGAACACCCACUUACAGCCCCGAACCAGGCCUGAGGUGGGACUUGUCAGUGUCCCGGCGUUGGGCCUCACACCCAGAAGGUGCUCACUGAGAGGAAGUUACAUUGUGACCCGCUCUUUAUCUGUCCAGUCGGAGAUGGACAGACGUGUGCGAGCAGAUGUUACCCAAAACCUAUCAGCCUGACUGCUGGACUCUGCUAAGGGUUCCCACCAACCUGGACCUACUGCUUCCUGGGUCUUUCACACCCUUUCUGGUAUUUCCUGUUUGUUUUCCAGAAGAAAGGAAGCAACUCAUAAGAGCUGACUUAAUGCAGCAGGAGGAGAUUUUUCUCCCUUUAUAUGCCUGUAGGAGCUUCCACAAUUUCUAGGCCUUCCUUUUUGUCCCAUCUUGCCCUUAAUAAAACGGUUUAGCACGCUACCAGGUACAUUUUGACUUUGAUGGGCAAGAGGUUCUCAGCACAUUACUACCCUGGCCAGGUUCUGUCCUUUUCCCCUUACCUUAAGAAGAUGUGUCAAUUUUAUUCCCCCCCUUGAGGGUGACCAAGUCUCAGUGCCCUCCCCAUCCCCCCCAGGCUCUCAGAGCAAGCAGGUUUACAGCCCAGUCCAUAUGGCCAUUCCUGGGUGUCUCAACAUGGACCUGGCACUGUUGGCCACCUUCUGAAUACCACCAUUUAGUGGGGAGAUUGGACAUCCCGCCUGCCCGCUCCCUAAAGCUUCCCCUGUCUGGUUGCCGUUGGUCCUUGUAUUGCUUCUUCCUUUCUGUUACGUAGGCCCCGUGAUUAAGCGCUCCCUGUUCCCUGCUUGCAUAUGUGUUGCAUGCAUGUGUUGGAUAAUUCUCAGCUCAAACACAGCUUUCCUGGGCAGAAGCUGUCUUAACCAGGCUCGGGGGUAAAUGUCCCUCUGCAGCUCUGGCCCUGGCCUGAGGUUCUCUGUUGGGAGGUGGCAACCUGGGGAGAUCAAGUGGCCCAUGCGGAUUCACGGAGGGGCCUCACGCAGACAGCCGACGUCCGCUGUGUGGACUGACCUGCUUUGUGCAUGCCAGCCAUCCUGCAGUGUGUGUGCGUGUGUGUGUGCAUGCGUGUGCCCGUCUUGCUUUCUCAUACCUCAUUGGCUGUGUAAAAUGUAGGCCUAAGUUGGCAUGUUCCUGUAACGUACCUUUGUUCAAGCAGUCAGCUGGCCUCUGUUCUCCCGCAGGUUCUACUCAUAUUCUUACUCCCACCAAAUUUCUCAUGGACCUGAGACACCCCGACUUCAGGGAGUCCUCUAGGGUAUCUUUUGAGGAUCAGGCUCCAACAAUGGAGUGAGAGCCAAAGAAACAAAGAUCCACGCACAUUCUCACCCCACAGAAACUGCUGGACACGCUGAAGAAACUGAAUAAAACAGAUGAAGAAAUAAGUAGUUAAAAAAAUAAGCCGCCCCUCCAAAAACCGAGCCUUCUUCCCCAGUGCUCCGCAGCCCCUGCCGCUGACCUGACUGCCUUGGUUACUUUGCUGACCCCUCUCCCUCCAUCCCUCCCAGCUCUGCACGCCCUGGCCGGCACUGUGCCGCUGCGUUCUCAUGUUAAAUGAUGCCCUCUCCUCCUUGGAAACAAAAGAAAAGAAUGCAUAGUGUUUUUUAAAAAGAGUUAGCUUCUGUAUGUAUCCUAAGAGGAGAAGUUCGCGUGUAAGUGGCACGCUGCUGGGGAAGUUUCGGAACUGUUUGAAUGAAUGGACACCUUCUCCCUGUUGGUUAUGAUUCCGUGACCUUGUACAUAACCCAGUACGAAUUGUGCAAAUUGCUUGAGUAUGGGAAGUUAGAUGCUUGGGUGUUUUUCAAAACCAGCCUUGGAUUGUUCCUGUUCUUGUUGAGACUCAUAGAGAUGUCUGUUCUGGGAGUGUUUCAAACUGAGGAUUAAUCUGUUCUCUUCACUGCAGUUCCUACCCCUCAGUGCCUGCUCUUCCAGAUAAACUUGGAAGUGAAGAUCAGGUGGCAUCCUGGGAGGUUUGAGCUGGAACCCACCUCUUUGCUUUCCCCAGGGGCUCGUCCCUCCGGUGCUGUGGCUGUGGGUGGCGAUGGGGUGUCCACAUGAAGUCAGGCUGGGUGCCAGGCGGUACCCAGCCUGGCCCGUGUCCACAGCGCUGGGAUCCUGGGGGAGUCAUUCUAUAGUCCAGGUCACCCUGCCCGGAGAGACAAGUGAGGAGCAGGCUCCCUCUGGGAACCUUCGUCUCUUGGAGAAGCGCUUAGGCCUGCUCCUUCGACCGGACUCCUUCCUUCCCCAGGCAUCACGCCCAUCACCUCUUUCUUAGUGGGGUCAGCCUGGGGUAAAGCUCAAGGGUCGGGAAUGGACUAGAACAGAAUGGGUUCUGCGGGCUGCUGGUCAGAGGGCCCAUCCCCUCAGACGUCACGUAGCUGGAAGACUAGCCCGUUGGAUUUAUACAGACCUUUUCCCACUCAGAUUAGCCUCAGUUUAAGAUACUUCAUAAUACUUUAUUUUUUGUAGUGUGGGGUCUAUGUUGUCGUGCUUGUAAGAGUAAAUGAUCAUUUUAUUCUCUGUAUAAAAACUUAGCUGUACAAAAUGUAGCUCUAAUGCAAAAAUUAAAGAAGCAAAUGCAGGCAGGAUGGCUCGUCAUCCUCAAGACUCAGCAGUUCUCAUUCUCCGGGAGUGAGUACCAUUUGUUCUGCUGCUGUUGUCCUGAAAUAUAAUGACAGUGGAAGUCACAAAAAUGUCCCCUGCCCGGCCCCCUCCCCCGCCACCCUCGAACUCCUGCAGACCAUGUGUAUAUCACUGUCUCGUGAUGUCAUUGCAAAUGUGCUGUAUGCUAGUUAACACCCCCCAACACCGCUUUCCUUCCAGAAUAGGUUCCUCGCCCGCCUGACAGAUGCGUUGUGGUGUUCUCUUCUCAAGGCUUUGAAAUGUCCCUUUUGCGCUCAGAUUAGUUUUCAGGUCUGUCUCCCUUCUCCCCCUUAAGAUAUCGAUCUUAUUUCCUUAGGACAGAACUGUAGGUACUUGCAUUGGUUUGUUUCUUACUGUUACUGCUUGUUUUGUCCCUUCCCCUUGACCAAACGAUGCUCAUGCUUCAGACCUCGUUUGUCAAACAUGUUGGUUUUUCCUUUGUCUGUUAUUUAUAUAAAAAUAAUUUAUCAAAAGGAUAUUUUAAAAAAGCUAGUCUGUCUUGAAACUUGUUUACCUUGAAAUUAUCAGAAUCUCAGUGUUUAAAAGUAUUGAAGCACAAACAUGUAUAAUCUCUGUACUGUUCUGUACUAAAGCACUCGAGUCUAAUAAAUAAAUCAGCGCCCAUUCAGUGUCCA